GACGAACGCUGGCGGCGUGCUUAACACAUGCAAGUCGAACGGAAAGGCCCUGCUUUUGUGGGGUGCUCGAGUGGCGAACGGGUGAGUAACACGUGGGUAACCUGCCCUUGACUUUGGGAUAACUUCAGGAAACUGGGGCUAAUACCGGAUAGGAGCUCCUGCUGCAUGGUGGGGGUUGGAAAGUUUCGGCGGUUGGGGAUGGACUCGCGGCUUAUCAGCUUGUUGGUGGGGUAGUGGCUUACCAAGGCUUCGACGGGUAGCCGGCCUGAGAGGGUGACCGGCGACAAUGGGACUGAGAGACGGCCCAGACGCCUACGGGAGGCAGCAGGGGGGAAUAUGGCACAAUGGGCGGAAGCCUGAGGCAGCAACGCCGCGUGCGGGAUGACGGCCUUCGGGUUGUAAACCGCUUUGGCCUGUGACGAAGCGUGAGUGACGGUAAUGGGUAAAGAAGCACCGGCUAACUACGUG
rnacentral:rRNA from 1 species